AUUAUCUUAUCUUACUAUGGUAAGAACAUUUAGCAUGAGAUCUACCCUCUUAACGAAUGUUUAAGUGAACAAUACAGUAUUGUUACAAGAGACACAGCGUUGAACAGCAGAUCCAUGGGACUUUUCAUCCUGCAUGAACUUCUACUGAACCUCUCCCUGCCCCCAGCCUCCGACAACCACCUUUCUCCUCUCUGCGUCUCUAAGUUUGACUGAGGUGCCUCGUAUACCCGGAGUCACGCAGCAUUGGUCCUUCUGUGACAGGCUUAUUUCACUGGGCACCGGGCCCUCAAGAUCUGUCCAUCUGGUCAAAUGAGGCAGGACUUCCUUCUUUUUUUUUAAGGCUGAAUAAUGCUCCAUCGUAGGCAUGCGCCACAUUCCCUUUGUGUGUUUGUCUCCCUGUUUCUCCAGAGAAACACACACAAACGGCCAACAGACGUAGGAAAAGAUGCUCAGCAUCACUGAUCACCAGGCAAGUGCCACUCAAAGCCGCACUGAGAUACCAUUCGCACCCAGUAGGAAGGCUACUCUUAAAGACCAAAUCCAAACAAAAGAUAACAGGGGUUGGCAGGGAUGUGGAGAACCUGGGACCCUCCCGUCCUGUUCGUGGGAGCGGAAAACGGUGCGCCUGCUGCGGAUCCUCAGAAAUCAGAAGGUCCAGGUGGUCCAGUAUCUCCUUCAAAGCCCCGGCCAGAUUCCACUAGGAUCAUGGUCCUCCCAGACUGUGAGCACGUCUUCCGGAUCCAGCACCCAGCAGAGCCACCAGCACACGGGAAGGACCAAACACAUAGCAGGAUGAUGACACUUGCAUUUCCGAUCUGUCCGCCUGCUUCCCACAACGCGAGGCCCUCCCUCCUCCUCCGUUCACCCACCUCCCAUCCAUCUAUUGACUCAUCCAGCAGGGUGGACACCCAUCACAGGCCGGACACCCUUCUAGGCAGAGGCCUCAGACCUGGAGAGCUGAACCCAGCGUCCGGAGAGACAAAAGCUGCCUGCAUGGCACACCCCAGGGAGUAAGGAAGGCGAUGAAUAGAAACAGCAAAGAGGAAGCCGGCAGAAAUGAUUUCCUUCCCCGAGGACAGGGCAAUGCUUCCUGCACAGUAUCUAGAAAAGUCCUCUUGGAAAAGGUGACACUUGAUCAUUUUAAAAGUAGUAUGUAUCUGCGUUAGCAUUUCAGGAAGUACCGAAGAUCAUGUGGCUCCACAACCAUCACUCAGAAAUCACGCCACCCCAACCACACCUCGGCUUUUGCCUUCAUGUCUGAAUGGACAGCUUUGUAUUGUGCUUUUAAAAUUUAACAUGACACCAGUCAUUUUGUAGCUCUGUUUGUUUUUCCCAUUUCCUCUGUGUCGAUAUAUAAUAUGUAUUUUUUUUAAAAACUGGUACCGUAAAUAUAUAUGAGCGGUUUCCACCUUUACCAAGGAAGUACGUAUGAUUGUACAGAUUCUCAGAUGAUCCAGAUGAGGAAGAAAAUAAAAAGAAUUUAUAAUGCUGACCA
rnacentral:lncRNA from 12 species